AGUGGCGAACGGGUGAGUAAUAUAUCGGAACGUGCCCAGUAGUGGGGGAUAACUGCUCGAAAGAGCAGCUAAUACCGCAUACGACCUGAGGGUGAAAGGGGGGGAUCGCAAGACCUCUCGCUAUUGGAGCGGCCGAUAUCAGAUUAGCUAGUUGGUGGGGUAAAGGCCUACCAAGGCAACGAUCUGUAGUUGGUCUGAGAGGACGACCAGCCACACUGGGACUGAGACACGGCCCAGACUCCUACGGGAGGCAGCAGUGGGGAAUUUUGGACAAUGGGCGCAAGCCUGAUCCAGCAAUGCCGCGUGCAGGAAGAAGGCCUUCGGGUUGUAAACUGCUUUUGUCAGG
rnacentral:rRNA from 1 species